AAUAUUUUUCCAACUCACUUGAUCUCUAACUUUACAAUUGAAAACUGGCGACCCAUUUUUUCUCUUGCUAUUACCCGAACCCUAGCCCUCUCCGCCUUCCUCUCCCACUCUCUUUCCACGGCCAACCACCGAUUCCCUCUCUCUGCUCACUCCUGCUACGAUCUCUCUCUCUCAUUAACCACCUCCUCCCCCUUGCCGACGCCAUCACCUCCACGAGCAAGCUCUCUCUCUCUCUCUCUCUGAUCUCGGAAGACUGAAAGAAGGCAAAGAACCCUUCUCGCAAUCUCUCUCUCGAAUUGGGGAAAUCGAUUGCUUCUGUGAACAAAAACAACAUCCCAGGGGCGACCGGCGCCGUUCUGUCAAAGAAAUCUCAGGCGCUGGCGAAAAUCAUUGAUUCACAGUCGGUUCUCAAAUGGUAAAUCGAAAUGGUGGGGGUUUUCAAUUCUAGGGUUUUUGGUAAUCAAUCGAAAAUUGAAUUAUAGAUGGGUGGAGAUUUGGGGAUAUCUGCGUUCCCUGAACAAGACAACAUACUCUGAAGCUUUCAGAAUUCUAAAGGUGAGUGAAUUGUGUGGGUUUUAACAGAGGCGGAGACGAGAGAGAUUGAGAACGAGGGUCUGUUUUGCUCCACAGAAAUAGAGUGAAAGAAUGUCACCUUCAAUCUAUCUGUUUUUUCGAUUUGACGGUGGAAUCUAACAAUAUGUGCUUAGGCAAAGAAGAAGAAGAAGAAGAAGAAGAAGAACCAGACACGCAUCUGAAGUUCGAGCGUUGAACUCAAUAUUCUCACAAUGGGAUACUCAAGCGGGCACUAAGGAAUAUCAGUGGAGAGCCAUGCGGUGGAUCAGCCAUCAAUGGAACCGAAUUUGAUAGCCCUACUAAUAACCCAGCCAUCAUUUGGGUCUGUACUUAUGCCAAUGGCACCACCUGCCAUAUUACCCAACUACAUAGAAGACGGAGUUAGUGAUUUGGGGGAAAGAAGAGGAACUUCAAGAUUGGGUGCCAAAGGCUGAGAAGGUUGGUGGGGAUUUGAGAGGGGUGAUUAGCCUACAUUACUGGUAAGUGAUCUUUACCUUAGCUGGUGUUUCCUUUCAGUUGUUAAAUUUGGGUUUAUUGAAAUGCUUCUGCUCAGCUUGAGGUAGAGAAUCAAGUUAAUUGUUUGAUUUCUGGAAGUGUGGGAUAUUUGAGUUAUGCUGGAAAUUCUAAUAUGGAUCAAGCAUGCCGUUUUUUUUUUUUUUUUUUUGGUGUUCCUGAUGCAAGUCAUGAUAUAUAAUUUUCAAUUUUUUUCUAUUGAAUUUUCAAACUACUGUCUUCUUGGCAAUGAAGCACUGUUCUGCAUAAUUACAAGUAUAGAGGUUUUAUAGUUCCUUAUUUUAUAGGCACUGCACUAUACUAUAAUCAUAGUUAGCACUCAUGUAUAAUCAUAUAAUUAUCACAAGGCCGCAAGCCGUUAGCUAAACUUCUAUGCUCUGCACAAUUUACUUAGAUAUAUAAAUACACACACACACACAUAAUUAUUUACAUAGACACACACGCACACACACAUAUAUAUAGCACUCAUGUAUAAUCAUAUUUAUGUACGCAAGCACAUAGACACACGCCUACUCCAUACAUGUCUUUAUAUUCAAUAUUUGCAGCUCGGCAAGACUCCUGUUGCUCUAUUCUUGAAGUACUUUUAAGGUUGACUAUGUUGUUUUAGAAACCUAACCACAGGGUUAAGUGUGGGUUAUGGACCUGACCACGGGGGUAAACGUGGGUAAGAAAUGUCUGGCGCUAGAACCAAUCUUUGGUAUUACUUUGGACCCGACCACGGGGUGUUAUGUGGGUAUUGGACCUAACCACCGGGGUUAAGGGUGGUCAUAAUUUAACCAUUGUUGAUUUGAGCUCACUUGUCACACUAUAUAUAUAGUAAGAAUUCUAUGAGACUUUUAAGCUUUCAUUUAUGCUUUCUACCUUACGGCAUUUGUUUUUAUCUUACUUGGUGGAGUCUUUCCUUCAUUUAUUCCUUGCCAUGCUUGAUCCAGCUAGUUAAGAUAAAGUUUGCUUACUGGGCUCCUGAGCUCAUCGACAUAUAUUUCUUUCUCUUAUAAUUCUCAGACAUAGAGGAAGAUGACAUAGCAGGUGACACAAAGUAUCGGCAUAGAGCGGCUAGUUGGUCUGAGGAAGUAGAAUAAUACCUUGCCAAGCAAUAGCUGCGUGGAAGGGUGCAUGAGAAUAGAUAAUUGCACGUUUUAAGGGUGUAGUUUAAAGAAUUUCUUAUGCAAAUUCAUUGGUUAGGCCUGGCUUGCUUCUGUCAUUCAUUAAGUUUAUAGCAAGCAGUAGUUGUCUCGUCCGGUUUGGGGCAUGACAGUUAGGCUGUUUAAUUCCAAAAGCAAAAUUUCUAUUAUUGUCGCAAGUAUUCAUGACAUACUGAGAGGUUAAGAGUUGAUUAUUUCACUAUUUGUUUCAAUUUUUUUAGGAAAAUCGAUCAGAAUUAUUUCACAGGUCAUGGAUCAUCAAUGUGACUGCAUUGACAUUAUUGUCAAUUGCUCACAAUGCAUUCUCUGGGCCCAUCCCCAAGGAGCUUGGAAACCUCAAGGACUUAAAUAUGCUGUCCUUUGAAAUAAAUAACUUCUCCAGAACACUACCUCCCGAACUUGGUAAUUUGGUCAAGCUUCAACAACUCUAAAGUAAGGCGGAUUUAUGAUAUUGCAAAUGUUUCAUCCUCCAUGAUUCUUAUUGAAAAGACCCACGCAGCAGAUACAAGGAAGCCUGCAUAUAAAUGGUUGGGAUUGAGAGGAAAAGAUGCUACGAGUUCAGCUUCAGACGAGUCUAGAAAAAGAGCCUUUGGAACAGAUAUCACAAACGUUGUAAGAGGGGCGGCAAAAUCUUCUACUGCUGGGAAAUUGGAAGCUCAGAAACAAAAGCAACAUGAGAGUAUAGUACGGCAACGUGAGAGCAUAGUACGUAAGGUUGAUAGGAACAAUUCAGAGGACUCGAAAGAAAAUACAAAGAGCUACCAGUUUGGCCCUUUUGCCCUAGUUACUAUUGCCAGAGCUGGGAAUUUCAACAUGAAGAAGGUUGACUGGGACAAUUUGUCCUCUACGUACUUAUCGUCCCUAGUAUCAGAAUCAAGGUAUCAUCAACUUAUGCUUCAGCCUGAUGUGUAGGUAUAUGAUAAGAUAUACAAGUCUUAUAUAUAUGUACGCAAGAAAAAGUGAAACUAUUACUAGGCUACCUUGGUUUGUAGAUUACUUGAUUAAUUGAAGAGCAAUGCUCUCUUCAGUACUUGCCUUAAAAUUUCAAACAUUCUUUCUUGUUCAGUGUAGAUUAUUUUUUUACAAAAAGGGUUCUCAAUUUAGUCACUCUGAUAGUGUUAUGAAUUUAAUGAUGUUCUGUUAUUGUUCUGUA